ACGGGGGGAUAACAUCCGGAAACGGGUGCUAAUACCGCAUAGUUUUCUUGAUCGCAUGAUUGAGAAAGGAAGACGGCCUUUGUGCUGUCGCUUAUGGAUGGACCCGCGGCGUAUUAGUUAGUUGGUGAGGUAACGGCUCACCAAGACGAUGAUACGUAGCCGACCUGAGAGGGUGAUCGGCCACAUUGGGACUGAGACACGGCCCAAACUCCUACGGGAGGCAGCAGUAGGGAAUCUUCCGCAAUGGACGAAAGUCUGACGGAGCAACGCCGCGUGAGUGAAGGAAAGGUUUUCGGAUCGUAAAACUCUGUUGUCAGAGAAGAACAAGUUGGAGAGUAACUGCUCCAGCCUUGACGGUAUCUGACCAGAAAGCCACGGCUAACUACGUGCCAGCAGCCGC
rnacentral:rRNA from 1 species